CACCCCUUAGAAGUGUCCCGAGUUCGGCCGCCCGGGGCCUCCGGCCGCCCCGCCCCCACCCGCGCGCCUCGGCGCUGACGUCACCGGCGCUCACGCGGCCGAGCCGCCGCCCGAGGAGUCACGCGGCGGCGCUCCGCCGCCACCGCCCGAGGUGAUGCGCCCUCUGCAGAGAUCCCUCCGCCGCCGCCUGGAAUUUUCCAGGCGCUCUGCCGGCCCUUCUUUCGGGCUUAUGCGGGGCGGGGCGACCUAAGAAGACCCGGCGUUUGCUUUGGCCCCCUCGGGAAUGCGGCCCCAGCCCGCCAACCCGCCCCCACUGCCCGGUCUCUCAGGGAAGGGUGUUCCUACUCUCUCGUCCUCCGAAAAGAAGAAGGGUACUCUCCCCCGCGGAAUCCACUUCCCAAAUAUGACCUUGAAAUCUAUCUGCCGUGUCACGAGGCACUGCUAAAGGGGAGGCGGGGACAACUGAGGAAUCCAGGUGGUGGACGCCCCGGGAGACCGAGACCCGCCCCCGAGUCGUCUCCCUGGGCAAGGUCAGGGAGGGACUUUUUUCCCCUCGCGUGGCGGUGGAGGAAUCGUCCCGUUGAGCCGUGCCCCGAGUGAUGCGGCCCGGGGCUAUAAAAGCAAAAGUUGUGGCCUGUCCAUCAGGAGUUAGCGACAGGGAGGGCCGCGGGCUUGGCUGUAGUUGUGGGGGAGGAAGUGGCCAGCUCAGGGUCUCAGGGGGCAGAUGGGGGAGAUGACAGGCUUAGAUGAGACUCGAGGGGGUUGGGGUAGGAGAAUAAAAAAGGUUAAAGAGGAAACGAGAUGUUGGGGAACCUAUGGUGGGGAGAGCUGCGUUGAAGGUCCCCGCAGUGACCCAAGGGAGCACAGCCCUUUAGCCCUAGCUGUCGCUUCGUUCUGGAGAACGGGAACUUGGCCUCUAGGAGGGCACCGCCCCUGCGUGGGCCGAGCGAGCCCCGCGCCCCGGUUUGUGUGGGAGGAGGAAAGAAGUUAGAAGCAGGAGGAGAACAGGAUCUCAAAGCCCUUACUGGAGAGGAAGCGGAAUUGGGCAUUUGGCUCCCAGAGAAUGAUCAGGAAGGAAGGCAGUGGGGUGCAGGGCCCCAGGAGGGCUGGGAGGGCAGACCAUGAGCUCGUCAAUGUCAGCAGCCCCCUUUUUUUUCAGAGGGUUGUGAACCCGCGUGGGGAUGAGGCCUGGUCUUGUGGAUACUGAACUUAGCUUCGCGGGCCUGACAGCUCUGGCCCAGGGUGGUGGCAGUGCUCCCCUUUGGACUUUUCCUCUAGGUUCCGUGCUAACUUCUUCUGUGAGCUCACUCUGCCCUUCCUCCUCCCUUUAACUCUCUCGAGGUUAUCCAUUCGUUUAAAACAUUGCUUCUGGUAACCUGGUAAGCCUGGGAAAGUUGACAACGGCCUUGAGAAGUUCGGUUAUGUCGGUAAUCGUGGAGGAGGAGAGGCACGCCCUGCUGAGACUCGGGGUGGGGUGGGGUGGUCUUGCCUGCCUGCGGAGAGGGUGGGGACUGAAUGUGUACCCUUGGGUGGGCCUGCAGCUAUGGCACCAGCUGAAAGUUACGAAAUGCCUCAUGGACCAUGGUUUGUUACUAUAGUGUUCAUCGUGGUGAUCAGAUGGCACCAGGAGAAAUGGAGCCCAUGGCCAGUGUGAGUCGUAGCAGUGCAGGAGGGGAGACCCUGAAGGAGAGAGCCCGCCUAAGUUGAUGUCUGCAGAUUGAAUUUCCAGAGGCUUAGGAGGUGGAAGUUUCUCCAGUGUCCUGUUUCCAGGCCUUGCUCAGGAAGCCCUGUAUGCAGGAGGCCACCAUUUAAGGUUUUCAGAUGAGCUCGUGAGGGGGCAAUCAUUCAAAGUCCAAAGCAGAUGCAUCGGGCCAUCAGCAGAUCUGUUGCUUUGAAUGUUUGAUCCCGGAGCACCAACCCCCAGGCACCCCUCCUUUUCCGGGGCGGAGGUUUUCAGAUGCCGCGUCUUCUAAAUUGAGCCUUCGGUCUUUGCUAGUUCUGUGCUACGAACAUUGCUUCAAGAAGAUUCUUAAGCUGUAGGACGUUGUAACGUGCCGCAACGCAGAGUCGUGCCUUGUAGAUGAAUCUUGCGGAUGGAGCCCAGUGACUCGUUCGCCUACCCACGCGCCUGCCUGCCUGCACAUUGGUUGGAGGAAUUAGUGUGAUGGUCUAACCUGUGUCUGGGGAAAGUGUUCACGUUUGAAACGCCUUGAGCAAAUACUUAAAUGAAGCCUACUGGCAAACCGAAGGGGGUGGGAGUGUGGGGGGGUCGUGUUAUGCUACAGUCCGGGGGUGGGUACAAGUUGGUUGUGGCCAAAUUCUGUUAGAAAUGGCAGGUCUUUGGGCAUUCUGAUUGCAUCACAGAUGACUAAGUGAGGGAAAUGGUUGGGGGACUACCAGUGAUCUUUGAUGCUUCUAUGUAUUUUUUCAUGUGGAUUUUGCUUGAUUUCAUUUGAAAGUAAACUUCAAAUGGGAGGACCCAACUGAGGUGUGAGGGUUGGGGGGGGGCACACCUUGGCAUUGGUUCUGGCAGGGGUGACAGUUGGAGUGGUACAAUACAGUUGGCAUUGGUACUGGGAGGGGUGGGGGUGAGGAAAGGGAGAGGGUUGGGUUGAUACCGUAAAUGUUGCAGAGGGUAGGGGUGGUAGGGAAUGGGGGUUGGAAGGGAAUUCUGGCAAAAAGGGUAAAAUUCUGGGGAAGGUAAUCUGCUCACAGAGAAAGAAGAUAUUAGUUAACGCUACUAAAUUGUUAGUGCUAGUUACAUUGUCUCUUAAAAGUACAAAAGAUUGCUUCAAAACUUUAGAAAGAAGCUAAAAUUGUUUUGCCUUGCUGCAAGGUGGGAAAGAGGGAAGACAACUGAACAUGAGUACAAGUCCCAUGAAAGCUGGUGGCAGGAGUCCCCAUCGGCAGAGUGCUCACCAGCCUUUGCUGCUCCAUGAGCUUUUUCAGUGGUUUAUAUGAAGGUGUGCGGGUGUUGGGGAGCUGUAAGUCUUAGGACUUUAAAUGUGCAAAUUGUGAGCUUUUAAAGUAUUGAAGUUUAAAAUGUUGGUGUGCACUUGAGAUUAGAUGUACUCUUUGGGGUUUGGAACAUUUCUAUUUACUGAGAUGUUGUGGUUGAAAAUUCUGAGCAAAGUGAACGUGCAAUGAUAGGAAUUUUAUGUCUCAAACACAUCUCUUGUCUUUGUGGUCCGUGUUAAUAGCAGUAAAAAUUUUUGCCAUUAGUGUUUGUAGCAGAAUAACUUUUUUAUGGUCACUGUAAAAUUACUGUGAUAUAUAGUAGCAAACAAUCCAUGUAGCCUUGCAAAGGUUGAGUGAAUCGAUUCUAUCUUUAGUUUGAACAUUUGCGCUUUUCAGAUUGAUCCAGUGCUGGAGCAACUCUCAGCCAAAAUCAGUUUGGGGAAUAGGCAAAUUGGUGGCGGGGGGAGCGGGGAGCCUUUACUAGAUGUGGUCUGUUUUUAAAAAUUCAGGGAAAGACAAGAAAACCGUUUAUGAUUACGUGUUUCUGAGCUGCAUCCAGGGAGUUGGUAAAGUAAUACCAGUAGCUCUUUCUCCUGUGCCUCUAACCUUAGAUUUCACUAAAAAUUUAAGAUCCCCAAUACCUUUUGCUUCUGGGAUUUUUGUCUUAUGGGUUCUUUUUUAAUGUUUAAAAAUAUGUUGGUAUCGUUCAGCUUUUCAUCAUGACUUGGGUAUGAUGUAAUUCCUGUCCUCAGAAUUUAUUAGUCAUGCGCGUAUGGGGAAAUGUGUUUGUGUAUGCUGUUGUGAAAUGGAAGCUGUUACACUGGGUGGUUAAAGUACUUCUGUGUUGCUCUGUGCUGAGAACUAGUCUUCUGUUGCAUCGUGUACAUGAUUACUAAUCGUUUUCUUUACAGCACAAAUAAAGGUUUGAGUUCUAAAACUCUUUAA